UGAUUUUGAUCAAUGUUUUUAGAAUUAGACCGAUGGUCGAACCAAUUAGGCUAUCAAUUCCCGGUUUGAUCUGUACGUCUUGUUCAGUCAAAUAUAUUAUUAAAAAUUUAUAGAAAUAAAAAAUAUUUUAAAUAGAGAAAAUCAAUUCAAUCAAUUUUUUAGUUUGGUCCAACAAGUUUAUAUCGGUUUGCAGGUCAAUCAAUUCAACCUCUAUUUUUGGUUCGGUGCCUC
rnacentral:lncRNA from 1 species